CGCCAGACACCUUGCUAGACACUAAAGAUAGAACACUCGGGAAGGCAGAUCAAGGUUGCCCACGUGACCAAUGUGACCUGCAGCUUCUGCCAGUUUCAGAUUGCUCACUUGGAGGGAAGAUAGCUAUUCCAUGGAUAUUCAACUUUCCAGGGAGAAUCCCACAGAGGGAGGAAUGGAGGACUCUUGCCAACAACAGCCACGCCAAUAAUCUGUCUUGUGAGCAGAUCCUUGGGCACCAGUCAAGCCGUCAGCACCCACCCAGCACCGGCUGACUCAACUGCAACUGGAGAGGAAAUCCCAAGCCAGGGCCACCCUAGAAAGCAACUAACGCCAAGAAGUGGUGUGCAGUUUGGAAGGGACACACCUGCACGUGGGCAAGCUGACGAACCUUUUCUGGGACAGUGGAGAUGAAGUGGAAGAAGGGAAAGGUUUGCUUGUAAUGCACGGCUGGAAGUGAAGAACGCCAAAUGAAGCCACCAUCAGUAUGUAAGGAAGACAGAGGCAGAAAGCCACAGAAGAAGACACACCUCACACAGCUUGUUUAGAAAGGAAACUGGCAGAAUGCAUAGAAGAGAGUCCUAAAGUCCAAAAUAAACAGGAUUGUGAAUUGUACCCGAUUCCUGAUGCUGGGUACGUGUUUUCUAGGGGAGAUGUGAAAGCAGGUGUAUUAACCCCAGCUAAGACACUGAUGGCAGACCAAAGAAAUGCUCUACUCAAGUCCAGGGAACCUGAGUUUAUUUGCAUUACUUACACAAGCCUGGGUGGGAAUGUCCUUACAGAAGCAGCCACUCAAAGGC